UGGCAUUUGAGUACAUAUUAUGGCCCACCGAUACUUUCUAAAGUCUUAUCGACACUUAUUUAAUAAAUAAUUCAAAAUGAUAGGAUCAAAUUGAUGUAUGAACUUCCGAAUAUAAUGCACUUACUUGCCUGAAUCAGUCCAGUUUAUCAAGUGGAGGGACUUAAACAAACUGUCCAGAUACGGGUUAAAUUACCUAUACACACAAAAGUUGAAUAAUGCAAGCAUUGCGUCAUGUGGCUUGAUAGUGCGCAACGUGAUAUCAAACUGAAUUGAUAGAAAAAAAUCGCUAAUGAUGGUAAAUAAAUUAAUGACACCUAAAUGUUAUGUUCAAACACUUCGACCAGGAUUAGCAGCUAACGUGUUUUUAUAUACAAAAAAUAAUAGAUUAGUCUACCAAUUUGUUGAUAGAUAUGCUUGUUUACGAGUGUGUGUUUAGUUCAUAGGCGCAUGGGGAGAAAAUUGCAAAAUAACUUCUACUUAUAUACGUGGUUACUGCUUCAAUCUAGCGAAAUCUAUCUGUAUGAUCCACCGACCAAACUUCAACAAUAACACCUAUAAAAAGGUUAGGAUGGAAAGGGAAUCUUUUUGCAUUGGUAAUAGAAAAUCAGUGAGGUUGUAGCUGCUCUUUUGGAAAAUAGUGAUUGGAACUAUAUUGAAUAUGUGUGUUAGAUGGUUGAUUCUGAGAAAAAAAUCUUUUAAUUGGACGGAGACCUCGCCUAUUCAAGUAGCCCAGGUCUACAAACAAAAAGUAGAUUCGGUAAUAAAA